GGUAAUCGCUGUAGAGGAGUAUGGGGACUUUGAGCUUGACGGCGGCGGUGGCAACCUCGAUUGGAACGGUGACAAGGGAAGGGCAAGUGCCGUCUAAUAGAAGGAUGUAACUAUUGGGGUUGUAGCUUGAAUCGGCAUCGUCUUCUUCAGGGGGAGGUUUGCAGAGUCCCAGCCGAGUAACGAAAACAAUCACCGUUAAUUUGAGAUAUCUCCAUAAGAAUGCCAAUUUCGGUAAUUCAAUCACAUGGAAUAGGAACCCCAUCACUCACAAAAAGAGUAUAGUUUUUCUUAGUGGAAAAACACAACUGUCAUCACUUUCCCAA
rnacentral:misc_RNA from 1 species